CAGUCGCCGCGGUAAUACGUAGGUGGCAAGCGUUGUCCGGAAUUAUUGGGCGUAAAGGGCUCGCAGGCGGUUUCUUAAGUCUGAUGUGAAAGCCCCCGGCUCAACCGGGGAGGGUCAUUGGAAACUGGGAAACUUGAGUGCAGAAGAGGAGAGUGGAAUUCCACGUGUAGCGGUGAAAUGCGUAGAGAUGUGGAGGAACACCAGUGGCGAAGGCGACUCUCUGGUCUGCAACUGACGCUGAGGAGCGAAAGCGUGGGGAGCGAACAGGAUUAGAUACCCGGGUAGUCCCUGUCUCUUAUAU
rnacentral:rRNA from 1 species